rnacentral:rRNA from 1 species
CCUACGGGUGGCUGCAGUGGGGAAUAUUGGACAAUGGGCGAAAGCCUGAUCCAGCCAUGCCGCGUGUGUGAAGAAGGCCUUCGGGUUGUAAAGCACUUUCAGUGGGGAAGAAAGCCUUGGGGCUAAUACCCUCGAGGAAGGACAUCACCCACAGAAGAAGCACCGGCUAACUCCGUGCCAGCAGCUGCGGUAAUACGGAGGGUGCGAGCGUUAAUCGGAAUUACUGGGCGUAAAGCGCGCGUAGGCGGUCUGAUAAGCCGGUUGUGAAAGCCCCGGGCUCAACCUGGGAACGGCAUCCGGAACUGUCAGGCUAGAGUGCAGGAGAGGAAGGUAGAAUUCCCGGUGUAGCGGUGAAAUGCGUAGAGAUCGGGAGGAAUACCAGUGGCGAAGGCGGCCUUCUGGACUGACACUGACGCUGAGGUGCGAAAGCGUGGGUAGCAAACAGGAUUAGAUACCCUGGUAGUC